UACGAAGGGGGGCUAGCGUUGUUCGGAAUUACUGGGCGUAAAGCGCGCGCAGGCGGCUAUCCAAGUCAGUGGUGAAAGCCCGGAGCUCAACUCCGGAACUGCCAUUGAAACUGUUUAGCUUGAGGACGAGAGAGGUGAGUGGAAUUCCCAGUGUAGAGGUGAAAUUCGUAGAUAUUGGGAAGAACACCGGUGGCGAAGGCGGCUUACUGGUCCGGUACUGACGCUGAGGUGCGAAAGCGUGGGGAGCAACAGG
rnacentral:rRNA from 1 species